GUCAGAGGCCUCAAGCGUUAGGCGGAAUCACUGGGCUUAAAGCGUGUGUAGGCGGAUCGUUAAGUGUCUUGUGAAAUCCCACGGCUCACCCGUGGAACUGCUGGGCAUACUGGCGAUCUUGGGCCAACUAGGGGCAGCCGGAACAAGCGGUGGAGCGGUGAAAUGCGUAGAUAUCGCUUGGAACGCCGAAGGUGAAAACAGGCUGCUGGGGUUGCGCCGACGCUGAGACACGAAAGCCAGGGGAGCAAACGGG
rnacentral:rRNA from 1 species